UAUUGUUGGUGAUGAUGUAAGAGUUAAAACAGAUGGGAAUCUCUCUGAAGGAGAUGGGAGAUUAAACGGAAACAGUG